AGCAGUCAUAACUCCUAGAUCAGGAUGAUUUAGGUGAAUUUCCAGUUAUGUUUGUAAAGCUCUUGGAAUGAUCUUUCCAACGCCGCCGAGUUUGCUCGAUUCCGAGUUCGUAUGAGUGAGUUAUGCCCUUUGGAAGUUGGGUUGUUGGCACAGGGCAGUUUAGUCCGAAUUUGUAAGGGUAUUUUGGUCUUUUCCCUAACCAUUUCUUUUGGUUAUAUUAAGGUUUUAGACUGAUAUUAAAUCAGUUUUUCCUUUUUAAAGUGUAGAGUUAGGGCUUUUUGAGAGAAGAGAGAAAGAAGAGGAGAAAGAGAAGAAGAAGUAAGGAUUCAUCAAGAUCGUCGUGAUUUUCGUCGGGGGUGAUCCCUAUUAAGGUAUGAGAGAUCAUAGUGUUGGGUUGGUUCUUUCCCCCACACGCCAAACUCGUUUUAAUUAUGAGGAAAGAUUGGUUGUGUUUGUUGAAGUUUGUAGUUGUGUUUGUUGAAGUUAUGGUUGUGUUGUUGAAGUUUCUUG
rnacentral:lncRNA from 1 species